GUGUGUACUGCCCUCCGGGGGAAGCUGGGUGUCUUCUCUGAGAUGGAAACCAACUUCAAGAAUCUGUCCCGGGGGCUGGUGAACGUGGCUGCCAAGCUGACCCACAAUAAGGAUGUCAGAGACCUGUUUGUGGACCUUGUGGAGAAGUUUGUGGAACCCUGCCGCUCUGACCACUGGCCACUGAGUGACGUGAGGCUCUUCCUCAACCAGUAUUCAGCGUCUGUCCACUCCUUGGAUGGCUUCCGGUGAGAGGCACCAGGCCCUCUGGGACCGCUACAUGGGCACCCUCCGUGGCUGCCUUCUGCGCCUUUAUCAUGAUUAAAGCCCCUUUCCUUCCUCCCUCCGACAUACCCCGAGAAUAAAGUUGCCAUAAGUUUGC
rnacentral:lncRNA from 1 species